AUUGAACGCUGGCGGCAUGCUUUACACAUGCAAGUCGAACGGUAACAGGCCGCAAGGUGCUGACGAGUGGCGAACGGGUGAGUAAUGCAUCGGAACGUGCCCAGUCGUGGGGGAUAACUACUCGAAAGAGUAGCUAAUACCCCAUACGAUCUAUGGAUGAAAGCGGGGGACCGUAAGGCCUCGCGCGAUUUGAGCGGCCGAUGUCAGAUUAGGUAGUUGGUGGGGUAAAGGCUCACCAAGCCAACGAUCUGUAGCUGGUCUGAGAGGACGACCAGCCACACUGGGACUGAGACACGGCCCAGACUCCUACGGGAGGCAGCAGUGGGGAAUUUUGGACAAUGGGCGCAAGCCUGAUCCAGCAAUGCCGCGUGCAGGAAGAAGGCCUUCGGGUUGUAAACUGCUUUUGUACGGAACGAAACGGCUCUGGUUAAUACCCGGGGCUAAUGACGGUACCGUAAGAAUAAACACCGGCUAACUACGUG
rnacentral:rRNA from 1 species